rnacentral:rRNA from 1 species
AGAAUCAACGCUGGCGGCGUGCCUAACACAUGCAAGUCGAACGCGAAAGGGGACUUCGGUUCCUGAGUAGAGUGGCGUCCGGGUGAGUAACACGUGGGUAAUCUGCCUUCGGGUGGGGAAUAACUCAGGGAAACUUGAGCUAAUACCGCAUAAUGCAGCGGCACCUAAUGGUGAUUAGUUGUUAAAGCGGGGGAUCGCAAGACCUCGCGCCUGAAGAGGAGCCUGCGGCAGAUUAGCUAGUUGGUAAGGUAAUGGCUUACCAAGGCUACGAUCC